UGUCAGCGGACUGCUCGAGCUGC
rnacentral:snRNA from 1 species